UAAGGAAUAUUGGUCAAUGGACGCAAGUCUGAACCAGCCAUGCCGCGUGGAGGAUGAAGGUCCUCUGGAUUGUAAACUUCUUUUAUCUGGGACGAAACACUUCUUUUCUAAGAGGCCUGACGGUACCAGAUGAAUAAGCACCGGCUAACUCCGUGCCAGCAGCCGCGGUAAUACGGAGGGUGCAAGCGUUAUCCGGAUUCACUGGGUUUAAAGGGUGCGUAGGUGGGUAUGUAAGUCAGUGGUGAAACCCCCGAGCUUAACUUGGGAACUGCCAUUGAUACUAUAUAUCUUGAAUACCGUAGAGGUAAGCGUAAUAUGUCAUGUAGCGGUGAAAUGCUUAGAUAUGACAUGGAACACCAAUUGCGAAGGCAGCUUACUAUGCGGUGAUUGACACUGAGGCACGAAAGCGUGGGUAGCAAACA
rnacentral:rRNA from 1 species